rnacentral:misc_RNA from 1 species
UUUCCGUAGGUGAACCUGCGGAAGGAUCAUUAACACGAAUUAUUUAUUAUCCAAUAUCAAAAACCAAGCGUGAACCUUUUCCCUCCCUAUAUAUAUAUAUAUAGGCUAACCUCAUUUAAUUAAUUUUUAACACUUUAAACCUUAACUAGUUUUAAUGUAGCCAUUAAAACAUCUAAACUAAAAAAGACAAGGUUAUUCGAAAGAGUAAACUUUAACUUUUUUCGAUUUACGAAAAGUUUAAAAGAACAACUCUUAACAAUGGAUAUCUUGGUUCUC